CCUCCACGCGGGUGGAGCUGCGCUAGCUACACCGCACAGCUGGCUAACCUAGGGGGAGCAGAGUGCACGCGUGGCCGCGUGACCAUCACGUGGUGCGGUGUGAGAUGCGGGGCUUCCUUCCGGGGCACCCCUGCGUCUCAGGCAGUCAGGUGGCUAAUUGCCAGAACAGGGCUAGUUACCGGAAUACGGCUACUUUGAAAGCACAGGUGAGGCUGCCCCACUGCUGACCGACCCAAGGGAGGCCGAGCUCCUCCCAACUGUCAUUCAGGAUCCAAGCAAGGUCCUUGAGUGGGCAGUGUGCAAAAGCCCCGCGAAAUUCUCCGAGUUCACCAAGGGCUGUUCACUGCGCCGGGGACGUGUGCUGCUCAAAGAUAAGAGUGUGCAUUAAGACAACUUUCCUCUCUGCUGCAGAUCCGGCUGACGGACCUACAGAGUGGAUUUCAUUAAGGAUCUGCGGUGGAAGAAAGGGUGACAUUUCGGUGCAGCAGAAACCCGUGGAGCAGGAGCUGGCUGUGGAGGUUCUGGGCUCCCGGUCCUCUAAACAGUGAACACCAUCCGGCAUUUUACAACACAGGUCCUGGCAGGACGGGAACCCCCAGAUCUGUGUGAGGAGAGGAGCCUCUGAGGGCCGGGCCCGGUCCCCCAGCUCUGCUGGCUGCCCAGGCAGGAGGCCCAGCCUGGUCCCUGCUUUGUAGACUGCGCUGGGACAGUGGCGGUGGUGCUCGUGUCGGCUGUACAGCACGCAAGGCUCAGGCCAAACCAGCAGAGCCUUUGGCAAGUGUUAGAGAUAAUUACUGUAAGCACUGACCGACACUCACUUCUCAUCUGCUCUUUGGUGUUACCUGAAUGCAUGUAUAAUUCUCUUGCUCUCUGAAUUAUCAGAUUUUCCAAAGCAUUUUGAUGCUUGACCAGGAAAUCUGAUUUAUGAAACCAUCAAUAACCUGUGGUUUGAGGCUCACAAAGCAAUCGCUUAGAGAACUGUUGGAACAGGCGUGGUAGAGUCUGGAGCCCUGGCUGGGCUCCUCUCCCCGCAGCGAGCAGAGUCUCCAGCCGGCUGGGGUCUGCAGGUUUCCUCUGUGCUGUGGCUCCCUGUGAAGGUGGCAGUGUGAAGAUCGGGUGGUGGGAGGACAGGGCUCUGGAUGCCUGGUGGUGGCCUGGACACGGACACAUGCAUCUGCUCCUUUGCUUGAUGGCAGAAGAUGGCCUGUAGAUGUCCCCAGAUGCACGCUGUGCUACGGAGCCCGGCUGUGCGGAGAGCAGCUUGCUAAUGUGCGCUGGGCUGGGAACAGAGAGCUGGGGGUGGGGGCAGGGGCUGGGCCGGGCAGACCCGCACCUCUGGACCCUGACCAGGAAGAUGGGUGACGUAGUCGAUGCUAAGACAGAGUCUUUCACGUUGGCAACUUUGAGACUUAGCUUCCAAAACAAAAGUCUAGAAAGAAGAUUUGAAUUACAGAAUUUUGUUGGCACAUUGGAACAUAUGUAACUAAUCCAAAUAUUCCUUAAUGUGGAGAAGAGGAUGUUAAAUUGUUUAAAUAUGUUUAUGUGCAAAUUGUUUUUUGAGCUUGACAUAGCCUUGAAAACCUUCCUUCCACAGAAAAUCUCAGUGUGCGCAUAUACUUUUUGCAGUGACUUUUAGCGUCUGAAACUCAGCUUCAUGAAGUGUGUCAAAGUGACACAGCCUCGAAAGAGACCUUCGGUGUGAUGAUUUAUUAACCUGCGUGAAGCCACGGGGAGUACAGAGGUGCAUUUUACCAGCGGGCAAAUAAGAGGGCCGCGCUCUUCGGUCCCCACAGUCUCUCACCGGCUAAGCUUCUGGAAUCUGUCCCUGCCCAGGGAGCCUCUCAGGCCAGCCCUGCAUCAGUGGUCACUCCAGCUGGUUAGGGACAGGGAAAGUCUGCCCUGGUGAGUUCUCCACCGAGAGCCUCUGUGCAGGUGCUCUGGGUGGAGGUUGCAAGGGUAGGUGGUUGUGUCUGAUUUUAGAGCUGGGCCAUUUGAUGUCAAGGGCAUCACAGUCACUCAGGACAAAGAGUGUGCAAUGUUCUGGGGUGCAGGUCACCUCCCACUGGGCUCAGCCUGCCCUCCCCAAGGAUCCCAUGGAGCUGGGGCUGGGCACUGUGCGUGCCUGGUCGAUACUGUCUGGCAGACUCUGAGAAGCAAGAUCUUGCCGGCAGCCCAUGUCCAGAUUUGGCCGCUCUGCCCUGCAGACAGCAGAGGCCGAGGCCUGCGUGAGGGGCCUGAGCUCUGGUUGUCCCAGCCUUGCUGGCUCGGAGACCGCUGCAUCCUCCGCUUUGCUCGUCCUGGGCUCGCCAGCCGGCUCCUGUGUGCGGCCCCCACUUCAUGGUUCUUUUCCGCACUGUCUCUCCUCAUAUCGGCAGCCGGAGAGCAGCAUAGGAGCCUGUGUGGAGCUUUCAGCACUGCGUGGCCUCUGUGGCCAGGCCUCCUCCACCUUGAUGGCGGUGUCCAAGCGCAGGCUCUGGCUUGCCCACCUCUGUGCGUCCUCUCAGCCUUGCCGUGGCAGGCUCCAGAGUGGGUCAGACCUGCAGACCUCAGGGUCCAUCCUCUGCCCCGGACUUGGCACCUCACUGUAGGGGAACCCAAGGGCAGCUGGUGGACGGGGGACCAAGCCCAGCACCUGGGCUGCAUGCCGGGACCCUUUGGGACCCAGCAUGACCCGGUUCUGUUCCUUGCCUGUUGUUCCACCCCAAGCCUGUAGGCGCGACUGUGGGUGUGAUUAUGCAUGGCCAGGACGCCGAGAUCCUUAGCAGAUGGGAAAACGUGGGAAGUAUUUAUUUUGGUUGUCAGCGCUUUAUGAAACACGAAAGGUCUGACCUUCACAGCAUUAAUUUUUUGUAACAAAAUUGUUUCAUUAAAAUGAGCUUUAUAAAAA